rnacentral:rRNA from 1 species
GCACGAGAUUGGUCGGGAUUAAUAAAUAGGUAACGUCAUUAUCCUCCCUAUUUUAGAGGUAUACCAUAAAGAUGCUUUUCCUCUUCUAGUUAGCUGGAUCAAUCUUUCGACCAUUGUCCAAAAUUCUUUACUGCUGACCUUUUUGUUAGGUAUGGCUGUUAUUUCAGAGCCAUUGUGACCAACCCUCCUCUCAGACUGGCUAUGGAUCAUAGGCUUGGUAAGCUAUUACCUUACCAACUACCUAAUCCAAAAUAGGCACAUUCAAUGAUGAAAACAUUUCUUUAAACCGUAGUUAUAUAAAGGAUUCACCUUUUUCAUUGAGUAGUUUCCUAUCUAUUACUCACCUGUACGCCAUGGAUCUAUAGACCCAUUCGACUAGCAUGUAUGAAACUUCUAGAUAACGUUCCUU